AUUGAACGCUGGCGGCAGGCCUAACACAUGCAAGUCGAGCGGAUGAAGGGAGCUUGCUCCUGGAUUCAGCGGCGGACGGGUGAGUAAUGCCUAGGAAUCUGCCUGGUAGUGGGGGAUAACGUCCGGAAACGGGCGCUAAUACCGCAUACGUCCUGAGGGAGAAAGUGGGGGAUCUUCGGACCUCACGCUAUCAGAUGAGCCUAGGUCGGAUUAGCUAGUUGGUGGGGUAAAGGCCUACCAAGCGACGAUCCGUAACUGGUCUGAGAGGAUGAUCAGUCACACUGGAACUGAGACACGGUCCAGACUCCUACGGGAGGCAGCAGUGGGGAAUAUUGGACAAUGGGCGAAAGCCUGAUCCAGCCAUGCCGCGUGUGUGAAGAAGGUCUUCGGAUUGUAAAGCACUUUAAGUUGGGAGGAAGGGCAGUAAGUUAAUACCUUGCUGCUUUGACGUUACCAACAGAAUAAGCACCGGCUAACUUCGUG
rnacentral:rRNA from 1 species